rnacentral:rRNA from 1 species
CAGCAGCCGCGGUAAUACGAAGGGUGCAAGCGUUACUCGGAAUUACUGGGCGUAAAGCGUGCGUAGGUGGUGGUUUAAGUCCGUUGUGAAAGCCCUGGGCUCAACCUGGGAAUUGCAGUGGAUACUGGGUCACUAGAGUGUGGUAGAGGAUAGUGGAAUUUUCGGUGUAGCAGUGAAAUGCGUAGAGAUCGGAAGGAACAUCUGUGGCGAAGGCGACUAUCUGGGCCAACACUGACACUGAGGCACGAAAGCGUGGGGAGCAAACAGGAUUAGAUACCCCAGUAGUCCAUGUCUCUUAUAC